GAUGAACGCUGGCGGCGUGCCUAAUACAUGCAAGUCGAGCGAACGGACGAGAAGCUUGCUUUUCUGAUGUUAGCGGCGGACGGGUGAGUAACACGUGGAUAACCUACCUAUAAGACUGGGAUAACUUCGGGAAACCGGAGCUAAUACCGGAUAAUAUUUUGAACCGCAUGGUUCAAAAGUGAAAGACGGUCUUGCUGUCACUUAUAGAUGGAUCCGCGCUGCAUUAGCUAGUUGGUAAGGUAACGGCUUACCAAGGCAACGAUGCAUAGCCGACCUGAGAGGGUGAUCGGCCACACUGGAACUGAGACACGGUCCAGACUCCUACGGGAGGCAGCAGUAGGGAAUCUUCCGCAAUGGGCGAAAGCCUGACAGAGCAACGCCGCGUGAGUGAUGAAGGUCUUCGGAUCGUAAAACUCUGUUAUUAGGGAAGAACAUAUGUGUAAGUAACUGUGCACAUCUUGACGAUACCUAAUCAGAAAGCCACGGCUAACUACGUG
rnacentral:rRNA from 1 species